GCCUCCGUAGCUCAGUUGGAUAGAGCGGGAGCCUUCUAAUCUCUAGGUCGUAGGUUCGAUUCCUACCGGGGGCG
rnacentral:tRNA from 1 species